rnacentral:rRNA from 1 species
AGAUUGAACGCUGGCGGAAUGCUUUACACAUGCAAGUCGAGCGGCAGCGCGGGGCAACCUGGCGGCGAGCGGCGAACGGGUGAGUAAUACAUCGGAACAUGUCCAUUCGUGGGGGAUAGCCCGGCGAAAGCCGGAUUAAUACCGCAUACGCCCGAGAGGGGAAAGCGGGGACUCGCAAGAGCCUCGCGCGAUUGGGUGCCGAUGUCCGAUUAGCUAGUUGGUGAGGUAAGCUCACCAAGGCGAUGAUCGGUAGCUGGUCUGAGAGGAUGAUCAGCCACACUGGACUGAGACCGACGGCCCAGACCUCCGUACGGGAGCGAGACAGGUGGGGUAAUUUUGGACGUAAGU